CGUCGAUAAACCUUUGUUUUGCAGUGGAGUUUCUUCCGGGCGAACAAAGAAAUCAGGGCUAGCUGUUGUGAAAAUUUCCAUCUGUCACGUCUUUUUUUCCCAAAGGAUAAGCUGCGGCAGCCGUUCUUUUUUCCCUUUACCUAGUCACCCUACCUUGUGCUUCUUGCUCUCCUCACCGUUGCCUUGCGGAGUCCCCACUAAGGAAAACAAUAUCUUUGCUGCUCCGGUAUCGCUUUGUGUCGGGUUUCCAAGCGCCUCAGUGCCCUUGCCCGUCAUGGAGGAACUCCCCUUGCUCCGAGCCAAGGAGAAUCAAGUGAGGGAGACAACAGGGCCGUCUGUAGGACCGGGGUCUUACGAUCUAGAUAAGCGGGCCGUUGCCAACUUUAGUCGUGCACCUUUCAACAGCACCAGUCUUCGACAGAAUCUCCUGUCUGCCGACCGCGAGUUUCCUGGGCCUGGUGCAUACAACAUUCUCGCGGCACCGAACAGCCGGACUUUCGGGUUGGGGUCACAGCCCUUUGUGUCGGAAUCUUCUCGCUUUGUCGCAGCAAACUGCAACGACACCCCUGGCCCUGGCUCCUACGAUGUCACGAAUUAUGGGAUCACCCGCAAGAAUCCAAGAUCAUACACGUUUUCUGGACCAUAUGAGAGCGCACUCGACAGCGGGCUUGCUGGGAGCAUCGGCCCCGGCAGCUACAACCCCAACUACGCCGCUGCAGACCGCAGGUUUCCGAAAGCGGCCGAAUUUGCCAAGUACAGUGGCCGGAAGCCAAUGAGACCACCAGCGGGCCCAGGCCCGGGAAGCUACGAUCCACUGUUAGAGCCACGAUCGCUUGCCGCAAUGAAGCCCUCUUCAGUGUUUGUAACGAAAACCAAGAGAUCUCUGUGUGGUAUCAACGGCCUCGGCGAUUCUCCUGGGCCCGGCGCUUACGAGAUAGGGAUGGACUCAGAGCGAGGCGGAACGAUUCCGCGCGAGUAUUUCUCAGCCUUUGGCUCAUCCUCUUCUCGGUUCUUCCACGGAAAGGAGGGCGAUGCGCCCGGACCCGGUGCGUACACAGGGGAGAUUGCUCCGCGUCGUUUUGGCCGGAGCGCCGGAAGCAGCUCUGCCGCUUUCGUUUCAGCCUACCAACGUUUUCCAGGUUUGAUGGCGGCGCCGACGCCGGGUCCGGGAACCUACGACGCACGACGCCCACGCCGGCACCAGUAUUUUGGCGAGCCCAUGCCGUUUGGAUCAACAGUACCCCGAUUCAGCCCGGUGUGGUCGCAUCACCCUCAAUCGGAGCCGCUCACCUUUUCGGGAGACCCCUACAGCGGCCGGUCCCCGAGCAAGCGAAAGUUGCGUUCUUUCAUGCCAGGAAAGAUCCAGCCAUCGAGCGCGCCACCUCCACUGCAGGACCGGUCGUAUGAUGUGCGAUACGACUGGCCGAAGCCGUCGUCUACGGUGAACACCACAUUUGGCGCCUCGGAACGUCCGCCUCUUCACUGCACCAAUGCAGUUCCUGGCCCAGGCAGCUACUGUGAGUUGGGUGACACAGCUCCUGCUAGCCGCCGCUACGGCAACUCCAACUGGGGCCGCGAUGUGCGGUUCACCGAGGUGGCGCCGCUUUCAGGAGCGCCGGAUCCUGGCAAGUACUAUCGCGCCAGCACCUUUCUCAAGAAGACCUUCAAUUCCACAAUUGGCUCCGACACUGUGUGGAUUGAGUAGCGGCUGCUGCGUCGUGCUGUGUCUUUGCUUGCGCGGGAACUGGAUGUAAAAUAACGACUGCCGAGGUGCAGAACAGGAGCGCGAGAAUGCUUUGCUGUGCGACACGGUGAAAAGCGUCACAGUGUGAUGAGAAGAUGGAGGCCUGUCGCGAAUUGGGGAAAAAAGGGUGACACUGUUGCCGCUCUCUGCGAUAGACAGAUGAUCGCGCAUGUACAUUAUGUUCUCUCCGUGUCACCUGUUUUUCUUUUUUUGUUCUGUCCCUGUUCUCUGCACAGGCAAGCAUACCUGCCACCUUCG
rnacentral:misc_RNA from 1 species